rnacentral:rRNA from 1 species
UUAUGGCUCAGGACGAACGCUGGCGGCGUGCCUAAUACAUGCAAGUCGAACGGUCUUUCUAUGGAAGCUUGCUUCCACUGAGAAGAUAGUGGCGAACGGGUGAGUAACACGUGGGUAACCUGCCCAUAAGAGGGGGGAUAACAUCCGGAAACGGGUGCUAAUACCGCAUAGUUUUCUUGAUCGCAUGAUUGAGAAAGGAAAGACGGCCUUUGUGCUGUCGCUUAUGGAUGGACCCGCGGCGUAUUAGUUAGUUGGUGAGGUAACGGCUCACCAAGACGAUGAUACGUAGCCGACCUGAGAGGGUGAUCGGCCACAUUGGGACUGAGACACGGCCCAAACUCCUACGGGAGGCAGCAGUAGGGAAUCUUCCGCAAUGGACGAAAGUCUGACGGAGCAACGCCGCGUGAGUGAAAGAAGGUUUUCGGAUCGUAAAACUCUGUUGUCAGAGAAGAACAAGUUGGAGAGUAACUGCUCCAGCCUUGACGGUAUCUGACCAGAAAGCCACGGCUAACUACGUGCCAGCCGCGGC